rnacentral:rRNA from 1 species
UACGGAGGGAGCUAGCGUUGUUCGGAAUUACUGGGCGUAAAGGGCGCGUAGGCGGUGGUGUAAGUCAGAUGUGAAAACCAUCGGCUUAACCGAUUGGAUUGCAUUUGAUACUGCAUCACUUGAGUUCAGUAGAGGAGAGUGGAAUUCCCAGUGUAGCGGUGGAAUGCGUAGAUAUUGGGAAGAACACCAGUGGCGAAGGCGGCUCUCUGGACUGACACUGACGCUGAUGCGCGAAAGCUAGGGGAGCGAACAGG